UACAGGGGUGGCAAGCGUUGUUCGGAAUUACUGGGCGUAAAGGGCGCGUAGGCGGCCUUCUAAGUCAGACGUGAAAUCCCCCGGCUUAACCUGGGAACUGCGUCUGAUACUGGAGGGCUUGAGUGCGGGAGAGGGAUGUGGAAUUCCAGGUGUAGCGGUGAAAUGCGUAGAUAUCGGGAGGAACACCAGUGGCGAAGGCGGCUCUCUGGACCGGUUCUGACGCUCAGGCGCGAAAGCGUGGGGAGCGAUCCGG
rnacentral:rRNA from 1 species